UAGGGAAUCUUCCGCAAUGGACGAAAGUCUGACGGAGCAACGCCGCGUGAGUGAAGAAGGAUUUCGGUUCGUAAAACUCUGUUGUUAGGGAAGAAAAAAUGUAUAGUAACUAUAUACAAAAGAGACGGUACCUAACCAGAAAGCCACGGCUAACUACGUGCCAGCAGCCGCGGUAAUACGUAGGUGGCAAGCGUUGUCCGGAAUUAUUGGGCGUAAAGCGCGCGCAGGUGGUUUAGAAAGUCUGAUGUGAAAGCCCACGGCUCAACCGUGGAGGGUCAUUUGAAACUAAUAAACUUGAGUGCAGGAGAGAAAAGUGGAAUUCCUAGUGUAGCGGUGAAAUGCGUAGAGAUUAGGAGGAACACCGGUGGCGAAAGCGGCUUUUUGGCCUGCAACUGACACUGAGGCGCGAAAGCGUGGGGAGCAAACAGG
rnacentral:rRNA from 1 species